AAAAAGGGGGGACACAAAAACUAGACGCCGGAAAAACUAAGAAAGAGGCGGGGAAAUUCCUAAUACAGACCCCACCCCCAAUCGUUUUGAUAUCCUUCCUUAGAGAGUAAAAGGCAAAAAAUUCCAUGGCCUCUUCUUAAUCAUAAACAACCCAGGACAGAAAUUAAAAAAAACAAAAGCCUUCCUUCAUCACCAAAUCUCUAUCUUCACCCUCAACCUAGCGGUUGAAGAAAGAAAACGAAGCAGCGGGGACAUUAAAACCUACGAGGACAGAAGCCUUUUCCUUUGAUCACGGGCAAGUGGUGACACCACCAACGACGAAUCUGGCCUAUAACCCCAAACCACAUCCCCGAUUCCGUCUCUUAUACAAAAACGAAGAUAUAUUCUGGUUUUCUUCUUUUAUUUUCUUCCGACUUCCGUCUCAAAAUAGAAGUGUUAUCCUUUUGAUUUUCAUCUUGAAAAUGGAGCUGAUUUGAGUUUCUGUGUGGUUUCGAAAUUGGUUAUGCCGAUUUGAGGUUCUGUUAAGGUCCAUGCUGGAGAGUCCUCUACGAUUUGAGUUCCGAUCGUGGUUGUGUUUGGUUCCAUCCGUGUAUCUGCUGGAAUUUUAUUAACCGAAAGAAAUUUCAGGUUCAUUCUUCUGCUCAUGUUUAUAUAUUUUAAUGCUAUAAAUGUGUCGUUUUGAAGCAUCUUGGCCCGUUGUUGAUAGUUUUGUGCUAGCGUAUUUCUUUCCAGUUGGUCCUGUGAUAGUUCAGCUAUCUGUUAGUUUGAUUUUGAUCCUUGGUUAUAAGAUAGAAUUAGUUGUUUCUCUAAUAAUAGUAGAUAUGUGUUUAGUUUCGGUCAAUCUUCCUAUUUUGUAUUUUGUAUCACUAUAAUCCAGAUAUUCUGUAGUUGUACCUACUGCCUUGCUACUUGAGCGUAUUUUUUAGUUAAUAGGUCAAUCUCAAGCUCGUUUGUAUCAUGAAAAGUUAAACUCGUCUGUCUUUUCUAACGAACAAGUUAUUUAACUUUGGAUAUUGUGUUUAUGACUCAAUACAAAAUGUAGAUGUAGAACUGGAGGGUGAUAUGAGAAUAUAGGACAGACUUAGUGCGCAUACAGUUUUCAUAGAGGGAAGAUCGAGAAUGUCAAUUAGUAUCAUUGGAAAGAUGCUUUGUCAAAGGCUAUUGUGUUGUUUUCUUUUAAAUAACAUUUUUUAUUCGUCUUGGAUUUGCGUUACUUGUUCAGUGUUAUCAAGUCUAACGUUACUUUUUUUAGUUGAAUUAGCAUUGGGUAAUUGGUACCAACUAGCCAUAUCUUUAGUUGAGUACAAUCCUUUAAAAAUUGGAAUCGAGGCGUGUCAUGCCAAAUAUAACGUAUUCGAUUGGUCUAUGUUUCUUUAGCAUAAUGUAACGUAUUCGUUGUGAUUUUACUAGAUUCGACGCAGGAAGAGAUCGAUUCAAGAGGAAAAGGGCAUUGCGGAUUAGCCUACGACCGGUUAUAGGUGAGUAGUCUUUAUAGAUGAUGUCCUGAGGGUUUGAUACCUCGGUUUAUCACACGAUGACGCUAUCAGGGAGUACUCGCACCCCAUGGAAGUUGUGGGGCUGUUCAUGACUGGGGAUUGACUUUGCCGAUCUCGAACAAUAAUGUCUACAUUUGCGACUGAUACGUACCCUGUAUUGAAUAUAUCUGGGCUCAUUACCAUGUUCGGGACCUUGUGCCGAUCUGUAGCAUCCUCAGAGGAUGAAUAUCUUUGUGAUAGCGUGAUUUGUAUAAUCAUUGAUCUAAGUCCUGUGUUUAAUCACUGUAUGAAAUGCUAAGUCACUUUUUUCCUGAAGUUAAAUAACUAAAUUAUAUUAUUCUUAAUAACUGGAAGCUGGGAAAUGAAUUGAAUCUGUUAUGUGACUCAUAUGCAUACUGUGGACUGAGUAUAGAUUGGGUUGCACGCCGCAAUGAUAAUAUGAGGAUAUUGCGCUUGGGCUGUAGGAGCCCUCCGGAGUCUGUACACACCCCCAGUGAGCGCCGUCAACGUUAAAUGGAUCAAGCAGUACACCGGCAGCGGGUCAUGUGCAUUGCAUUGCAUUCUUGCAUUUUACUUGACUGAUAUACUUGAUAUUGCUUUGCUGUUGGUUCAUAGUUAAGCUGUCGGACUGUUAGCUUUAGCUUUAUUUUGUGGCAUUUCAUGGAUUCUUAUCUUCAGACAUUUUAUAUACUUAUUACUCACUGAGUUGGUAGCUGUCGGACUGUUAGUUUUUAGCUUUACUUUGUGGCAUUUCGUGGAUUUCUUAACUUCAGACAUUUUAUAUGCUUAUUACUCACUGAGUUGGUAGUACUCACCCCUACUCCCUGCACCUUGUGUGCAGAUUCAGGUGCACCGGAGGUUUAGCUGAGCAUUCGUUGUCUCUAGAGUUUAUCAGAGUUGUUGAGGUAGCUGCUUGACGUUCGCAGGACCUGACUGCUCCUCCUAUUUCAGUUUUAUUUAUUUAUACUUUUCCAUAAUUGUGUAUUUUCAUACAUAUAAUUUUCAUCCAGUUUAUUUUAGAAGCUCUAGACUCGUGACCCCAGAUCUUAUGGGAGUGUAUUAUCAUAUUUCGUAUCUCAUCGUAUUAUUUUACUAUAAAUAUUUGAUUAUUAUUCUAAAAUUACUAUAUUAUCCUUAAAUUGUCGGUUUUGAGAUUUAUUUUAAAUUGAGAUCGGUUGUUGGUCAGGCUUGCCUAGCUUUAGGGUUGGGCGCCAUCACGAUCGCGUUUGGAUCGUGACAAGUUGGUAUCAAGCCAAGGUUACUAGGCCUCACGAGUCUUGAUAUGGUUAGUAGAGUCUCGCAGAUCGGUAUGUAGACAUCCGUAUCUAUCCUCAGGAGCCUACAAAACCUUUAGGAAAUACUUCGCUUUCUUGAAAUCUUAUCGUGCGUCCUUGAUUCAGCUUGAAAGAGUAACUCUUGAAAUUCCUUCCACGUGUUAGCAUGCGCGCAUGAGCGCUCGGUAGCACAUGUUCCUUGAUAGCUUGUGAUUCCCUGAUCGAGGGGCGAGAUGUGAUUCCUAUGAGUUGAUGUUGCGCCAAUCUGGAGGACUUGAGGCCAAAUCUACGACUAAGGCUUGAGCACCGAGGUGUUGAUUUUUACGAGCUGGUAUUAUGAAAUUAUAUGUUCGGCAUUGUCCCUAAUUGAAGGAAUGGCGGCUAGAUAGCUACGUGAUGAAUAUGUUGGUGCUGCGUGGCGUGUCUAUAUGACUUGGAUGUGUCAAGGAAGGCCUACUGGAUGAUAGACAAACUACUGAGUGUAUGAUUUCUAUUAUGAUCGGAUGUAUAGCCCCAAGUUAUGGAUACGUGAUGAAUCUUUUUAUGUCCCCGAUUUGGAGUGAAGCAAAUUUCAUGUUAUGAGAUGAGUUUAGACUCAGGAAGAUUUAGUGACUGUGUAAUGUGUAUGGUAUUGGAAGGUAUACAAGAUAUUAACUAAAGGUAAAGCUAGUGGGUAAUUAGCUUAUGGGGGAAAUCUAUGUGUCAUACCAGUUAGAUAAGUCUGGGAACUGAGAUCAGUUCUGUAAAUGUAUUAUGACGAAGUCAUUGAGUCAAGAAGAUCACCUUGAAGGUCUAAAACAUUAAAGAAAUAAUAUGUUUUUACUUGGUUGAAUAGCCCAAUAAUGGAGGAUUGAAAGGUAUUUUUCCAUGUGUUAUGAUUCAAAUAGGUGCAACGCAUGUCCAUGUAUAAACUUUUGAUAAUAUAAUACAUGUAAUAUUGAGAUUAAUGUUGUUGAUAUACACUGUGAUGCUUUGUCAAGUUGUGUACAUGGUGUUAGGAUGGUUUUGGUGAUUCUUUGCCUGGUGGAUAAACCCAAUUACAAAGGAAACUCUACCGAAAUUUUUGAAAAAUUUGGGACUUAGUAAAAAUUUUGUCGCCUAAAGACUGGGCUUAACUGUUGUGUGAAUGAAUGCAAGAAUUGCAGAAGAGUUAAAAUUUCUGAUGAUUCGUGUUUCCACAAGCUUAUGGAAGAGUGAGUUUAAUCUCACCCUGAUAUUACGACAACAAAAGAGUAUAUGAGUUGUGGUAUAUAUGGCUUCGAGCUAAGUUGGGGAGGUUGUUGUUGAUUAACAGAUUGUAUGAUUAUGUACUAUGUUAGUCCCGAUUUGAUGCAUGCGGGUGGAUCAGUUCUGGUUGCCGAAAUUGAGCUGAAGAUGUCAUGAGUGAAGCAAAAAUUUUGACAAAGGUUAUAUGUUGCUUAGUAGAUGUGAGAAAAUAAUAGAAUGUCUUGAUUUGUUGAUAAAGAAUGCUUAGUGUAGAGAGAAGGAAGUGGUUUGGUUGUAUCGGAAUAAGAUCAUGUCCUGCGGUGUUAGAGUGCUGAUAAGGCAUGGGUGGUUAGACAAUGUGGUCUUACGUUCGAGUCUCGUGUGUUAAGCCUGGGUUGAGGCAUUGUGGUGCUACAACAAUAGAGUAUAUCAAGUUGAAAAUGAAUCAGAAGAAAAUCUAGACAAAUGAAGUAGCUUGUUGGUGGACCGAAUCAGUGUGUUAAAGAUAUAAUCAAUUAUUUGUUUAUGUUCGAGGUAAUGAGCCCUUACAGGUAUUGGGCGGCAGAGCUUUUGAGUUUGGACAUCUUGCUUAGAUUGGUGUGGAUAGAAGGAUUUAGUCCUGGCAGUUUAGCUUGUGGUUAGAAAAAAGAAGAUGGAGUUCUCAGGUUAUCCAAGUAUGGUAUGGUAUGUGUUGUAUGUUGUGGAGGAUUGGGAUUUUUGUCUAUAAGGUACAGUUCUGUUCUGAAUGGAAAGUCAUUAAAUUCUUAAGGAGCACGGGCAGCUGCAGGUGAUUUAAGAAUCGACCCUGAAAUGAGUAAGGAAAAUGGUAUUACGAUUCUAGUGAUCUGAUGGGAGUAUACGUUCAGUAAGAGGGGAAGGUGAUGUAAACUGAUAACACUUAGGUGCGAUUUCGGCAGUUCCCUGUUGGAUCGACUGUUGACAUUCGAGUUUGUUGAUGGCACAUGGAAAUUUUAGAAUAUCUUUUGUGGAAUGGAUGGGUACUUGAUGUGUUAUAUAUAUUCAUACGACAGAAUGUGGGAUCAGAUAUAAUGAUUGGUGUGUUAUAUGGAGUUGGACCCUGGGAGUUCUCCGAUACAAUCUAUGUCGCGGUUGUGGAUCGUGAGUAUUUGGCACCGUUUAGAGGCAAUUAGGAUUGUGAGGCUAGAGUUGAUCUUUAUUUGUUGAUAUGUUAGGUUUUGGACAUGAUGUUGGGUGUAGGCUGGUUGUCUCGGUGUUGGGUUAUUCCAAACUAUUGUGGUAUGGGUUAGGUCGAAAAAUGCCAUAGGUUGUUUGGCGAAGUGCAUCAUAUUAUGUUAUAAAAAGAGUGGUUUGUAUUCCAAGGAUCAGCGGACGGCUGGGAGAGAUUUGCUUUACUUAAUUAGUCCUUUAUGAUAGAUGUCGGUAUAGAGGUUUCUACCAUUUAAUCAGUUUUGAUAUUGAAGGACCCUUUUGGACGUGUUCCUUAUGGCCGGGCAUGUCGCUGAGCGAGAUUGUGAAUUUCAGUAUUUAUUUGAUGUUGGACCAUCGAAUCGUACGACUCUAGCAUAAGUUAUAGUAGUGGAAGACGCAGCUUCAAGCUUCUUGGCAAUGAGCUUGCUGGUAAGCUGGUUGGAUACGUGUUUAGCUUGGGUUGGCUUGGUUAGUCCCGAAUUGUAUUGAUAAAGGAUGGGUUGACUCGAUUGUUAUUGNNNNNAGGGCGAACUUCUUCUUCAGGCUUCUUGGUAAUGAGCUUGCUGGUAAGCUGGUUGGAUACGUGUUUAGCUUGGGUUGGCUUGGUUAGUCCCGAAUUGUAUUGAUAAAGGAUGGGUUGAUUCGAUCAUUAUUGGAUCUACUAGUGAUCUGGGAAGAUCUCUGAGUUUCUUUUCUAUGCUGCGAGGGGCUAUGAUUUUUGGGCAGUGGUACAUAAAUUGCAGUGCUAUCGAGAUUCAUAGUGGAAUUUGAGUUUUGUAGCUUACGCCGCCAUAAGUAGAUAUGAUUAUACAUUCAGUGUGCUCAUGACCGAUACUCGGUAUUUUUUUUAUAAUGAGCAAAUUCGGCUCGAUGUGCAUCUCCCUAUGUAAGAUAUUCGUGUGGAUCGGGUGGCACGCGCCACAGGGUAUGUUAUCUGGAUCGGGUUGCACACUGAAACAGUGUCAUGUUGAGGAUAGUUUCCGUAUAUUACUUUGCCUUGCUUCCUGGUUUCUGAGGAAAGUCCAUAUUGCGAGUUGCUCGGCGAAUAGCGCAUCGGUUGUGUCCUUACAUGAUUGAAUGGAGUAUAUAACUUGCUUCACCGUGGGUGUGAUAGAUUGCUUGGUUUCAGACAUUAAUCAGUGAUUGGCUGUCUAUUUCGAGCAUGAUGACUCGAGGUACGUCAUGUGUAACAGUGUUUGGACAGGAUCGCGCGUUGGGUCGAGGCCACGUGAAGUCAUGGCCUUUCAAGAAGGAUUCAGGUAUUCUAUUUCCUAUGAUGUUAGGCGGGGUCUCCGUCUUGUUUUGUGAUGGUACUGAUGAGCUUGAGAUACAGCUCUUUCGUUGAGGCAAUAUCAGGAUUUGAGUAUAUUCAAGUUGUACCUUAUUGGUGCGCUUGUUAUGCAAGCGUGGCUUAGGCUAGUCAAAAGGUGUUAUAUCUCUAGAAUGGUAUGUAGGAUUCGAGGAGAAUGUUGGAUUCAUUAACGAAUACGAACGGAUUAGGCUGCAGCUUGUUGGAAGGUUAAUAUCGAGGUUCGACUCGGAAAUCUAUUGUGAUAGUAGUCUAAAGGAAGUGACUUCAUGAAUGGUUGAUCUGACAGAUUGUUACAAUAUUGCGUUUUUCAUUUAUUGUUGGCAGUGUAUGAAAGUGUUGGAAUAAGACCUUGGUUAAUACGAGGUUUUUCCACCGGUAUUCGGUUGUAGUGGGCAAAUGCUGUGAAUAGUAGCUAUCAUUUUGAGUGUUGGAUUGUGUGGUUUGUUGCAUGGGUUCACCUGGGGUUGCAGGUAUGGGUUAUUACAGCUGGUUCGGGCUUAUUCUGAGUAUAAAUGUGUGGUUCUGAUCUUGUGUAUGGUUUUGGAAGUGCAAUGUGGUUCUACGGUUAUGGUCUGGAUGGACUGUGAAAUUUUAGCUGUGUUGUAUUAUCGGGACUAUGUGAGUUAGGGUGACGUGGGAUAACCCCGGGUAUAUGGUUGGUAAGGUCAUUCAAGUAUUGGUUGGCUCCUAGUACAACUCUGAGCAUGCUCGAGGACGAGCAUUUGCUUAAGUUGGGAAGGAGGUAACGACCCGACCCGUCAUCUCAUGUAUCUCCGCCCGUUUUCCCCGGUGUAUGCUUCUAUAUGAUUUCAUUAUAGGUGUCUGGUGAAUUUGAGGUAAUUCGGAUAGAGUUCGGCUAGAAAUGAGACAAAUAGUCUCUUUAAUGAAACGGUAGUUUGGAAAAGUCAACUGUAUGUUGACCUGUGAGUUAGAGGGCUCGGAGUGGAUUUCCAAUAGUUCGACUAGUUUUGGGGGAUGAUUAAGGCUUAGGAAAGCAAUCGGAAGUGAUUUUGGAGGCUCGGUGUGGAAAUUAGCCUAUUUUGGCGAAGUUAGGAAUUUGGUGAAUUCCGGUUGAUAGGUGAGAUUUUGAUCCGAGGCUCGGAAUGGAAUUCCAAGAAUUUAUGUUGCUUCAUCAUGUCAUUUUGGAAUUAUGUGCAAAAUGUAAAGUCAAUCGGAUGUGAUUUGAUAGGUUUAGGCAUCGGAAAUAGAAGUUAGAGACUUCAAAGUUAAUCAAGCUUAGAUAGGAGGUUGAUUCAUGAUUUUAGCAUUGUUUGAUGUGAUUUGAAGCCUCGAGCAAGUCUGUAAUGUGUUUUGGGACUUUUUAGUAGACUUUGUUGGGAUGCCAUGAAGAUCGGAUAAAUUUUGGAAGAGUUUUUGGAAGAUUUUUGUCGUUUUGAGAAUAAACGUAAUGAUUUAACGGUUCAGUUUUAGUUCUAGAGAUCCAAAUUUGAUUCCGAGACUUUUGGAAUUUUGAUAAUGAACUUUAGGAUCGAUCUGGAAAUUUUGGUCUAAUUUCAUCAAGUUGCGAUUGGGUUUUUGACGGGAAACAUGAGUAAUUGUUUAAUGAGCGAAAUGAAUAUCACAUUGGGCAAAUAAACUCCGAAUUGAGUUUCGAUUGAAGGGUUGUGUUCGUAUUAUCGUUUUUGACUCAUAGGAAGAUGAAUUGUCUAAUUUCGGGUUCGUAUGAAGGAGUUAGAGUCUUUUUAGUGAAAUUAAAUAGAGUUGGUGCAUCAGGUCUGGUGUGGCACUUUUAGCGACCAAAUCUGGCACUUUUAGCGACCAGAUUUGGGUUUUAGCGUCCAGAUUAGCUUAAUAAAGCUGCUGCAUGUUUUUGCUCGUUUUUUACCUAUUUUUUGUGAAAAAAAUGGCUUUGGGAGAUUUUUGAGCAAGAAAUCAUGGGAAAUCUUGAGGUAAGUCAGUUGUGAUCAUUUCUACUCGAUAAUAUUGAAUUAUCAUCGAAUAAUCCGACUAGAUUACAUGUUUUUGAGGUUGUAAAUUGGGGAUUUUGGACCUAAGGGAUUUAAAAUAAGAUUUGAAGAUUUGAGAGGUCAUUUAAACUCCGAUUUUAUUAAAUUUUAUAUGUACGGACUCGUGGCAAGACGAGGAAUCCGGUGAUGUGAUUUUUGUAGAUUUUUAUGAAGUGGACCCGGGGCUCGAAUUUUACCAUCUGCGUGAUUUUUAGCGUUUUUCGAGUAAUUUUGAUUGGUUAUGUUUCUUUAGCAUAAUGUAACAUAUUCGUUGUGAUUUUGACUAGAUUCGAUGCGUGAGGAGAUCGAUUCAAGAGGAAAAGGGCAUUGCAGACUGGCCUACGGCCAGUUAGAGGUGAGUAGUCUGUAUAGAUGAUGGCCUGAGGGUUUGAAACCCCGGAUUAUCACAUAGUGACGCUACAUUAGGGCAUGACUCGCAGCCCAUGGCAAGUGCGGGGCUGUUUAUGACCGGGGAUUGUGACUUGGUCCAUCCCGAACAAGAAUGUAUUAUAUUGGCAACUGAUACGCACCCUGUAUUGAAUAUACUUGGUCUUAUCGCCACGUUUGGGACCUUGUGCCAUUUUGUAGCAUCCUUAGAGGAUGAAUAUAAUUGUGAUAGCAUGAUCUGUAUAAUCAUUAAUCUCAGUCCUGUGUUUAAUCACUGUUAUGAAAUGCUAAGUCACUUUUUCUUGAAGUUAAAUAACUAAAUUAUACUCUUCUUAAUAAUUGGAAACUGAGAAAUUAAUUGAAUAUGUCAUGUGACUCAUAUACAUACUGUGGACUGAGUAUGGAUCGGGAUGCACGCCGCAAUGAUGAUAUGAGGAUAUUGCGCUUGGGAUGUAGGAGCCCCUCUGUAGUCUGUACACACCCCCAGUGAGCGCCGUGGACGUUAAAUAGAUCAGGUUGUACGCCGCAGCGAGUCAUGUGCAUUGCAUUGCAUUCUUGUAUUUUACUUGAUUGAUAUACUUGAUAUUGCUUUGUUGUCCGUUCAUAGUUAAGGUGUUGGACUGUUAGUUUUUAGCAUUACUUUGUGACAUUUCGUUGAUUUCUUAUCUUCAGACAUUUUAUAUGCUUAUUGCUCACUGAGUUGGUAAUAAUCACCCCUACUCCAUGUACCUUGUGUGCAGAUUCAGGUGCACCGGAGGUUUAGCUGAGCAGUCGUUGUCUCUAGAGUUUAUCACAGUUGUUGAGGUAGC
rnacentral:lncRNA from 1 species